rnacentral:rRNA from 1 species
GUGUCAGCAGCCGCGGUAAUACGGAGGGUGCGAGCGUUAAUCGGAAUUACUGGGCGUAAAGCGCACGCAGGCGGUUUGUUAAGCUAGAUGUGAAAGCCCCGGGCUCAACCUGGGAUGGUCAUUUAGAACUGGCAGACUAGAGUCUUGGAGAGGGGAGUGGAAUUCCAGGUGUAGCGGUGAAAUGCGUAGAUAUCUGGAGGAACAUCAGUGGCGAAGGCGACUCCCUGGCCAAAGACUGACGCUCAUGUGCGAAAGUGUGGGUAGCGAACAGGAUUAGAUACCCUGGUAGUCCACACCGUAAACGCUGUCUACUAGCUGUUUGUGACUUUAAGUCGUGAGUAGCGAAGCUAACGCGAUAAGUAGACCGCCUGGGGAGUACGGCCGCAAGGUUAAAACUUAAAGGAAUUGACGGGG